GAAACGUUUGCUGCUGACUCACACAUUGCUCAAAACAGCUACAGUCAAUAUGGAGCGAAUUCAACAAGGUCUAUAUGGAUAAAGACUCGUGGCCAAAUGUCGAUUGCCAAGUGAAUUGAUAUGUAUUUUUAAAAGCAACUUUCGAAUUAACCGUUAAUCUUUGAAUAAAUUGUGUAUUAUGUUGAAAGGUUACGAGAGGAAAAACACUAAGUACCGGAAGGCAAUUCAAUUAUAAAUACGUAUUGCAAUUACUUUAUAUGCUGUUGGCUCUUCUGCAGGAUACCGAAAUUGCAAAAGCUCUGUCCGCACUAUUCUAAUUGAGUUAUACUAUGAAGUCUGGCGAUGUUUGUGGCCUUUGUAUUUGAAUAAAUUUCCAAUGAACGAAGUUCAAUUGCGUGAGUAUUUAAACGGGUUUGAGUCAUUAAGUCUCCCUCAAGUGUUAGCAGAAGACGCUGUUGACUAUUAUAAUAAUAUAGGCUGGUAUUAUACAGUUAUUUUGGAUUUAGUAUAUGCAAGAUGUCGCUUUAUAUACAUCAACAUUGGUAGUACAAGCCGUUGUAAUGACUCUUCCAUUUUUGAGAGUUCGUCUUUAAAAUGCCAGUUUUUACAAUCUAGCUUGUUUAAAGAAAUAAGUAGACCAAUAUCAUCAGUUAAUGUUCCAGUCGUUUUGUUGGAACUCUGCGUUCGAACUUGAUGAUUUUGUAUAAACCAACCAUUGCAUAAAAAUUUGAUAUUAUAAGUCAUAAUAAUUCAUAAAAUCAAUAAAGCAUAACUUAUUAUUGUCA